rnacentral:tRNA from 1 species
GGCGAGGUGGCUGAGUGGUUAGGCGAAGGGCUGCAACCCCUUUCACGCCGGUUCGAUUCCGGCCCGCGUCUC